GGUUGGAGUGCAGAGUCCCUGGCGGCAUUGUCGUCGGGAUAAAGGCUUUGUUUUUCCUUCCUUCUUCUUAGGACGCAAAACACUGGGGCAACUCAGUGGUUCUAUAGGGUUUACUUUGAAUAAAUUAGGGUGUUCAAAGCAGGCGAAUCGCCUUGAAUACAUUAGCAUGGGAUAAUGAAAGAUGACCUUUGGUCUAUACUUUAUUGGUUUCUAAGGCCGAGGUA
rnacentral:rRNA from 1 species